GACGAACGCUGGCGGCGUGCUUAACACAUGCAAGUCGAACGGACAGGCCCUGCUUUUGUUGGUUUCUCGUUUGGCGAACGGGUGAGUAACACGUGUGUAUCCUGCCCUUGACUUUCGGAUAACUUCACGAAACUCGGGCUAUUACCGGAUAUGAUCUCCUGCUGCAUGGUGGGGGUUGGAAAGUUUCGGCGGUUGGGGAUGGACUCGCGGCUUAUCAGCUUGUUGGUGUGGUAGUUGCUUACCAAGGCUUUGACGGGUAGCCGGCAUGAGAGCGUGACCGGGGACAAUGGGACUGAGAUACGGCCCAGAAUCCUACGGGAGGCAGCAGGGGGGAAUAUGGCAGAAUGGGCGGAAGCCUGAGGCAGCAACGUUGGGUGCGGGAUGACGGCUUUCGGGUGAAAAACAGCUUUCGCCUGUGACGAAGAGUGAGUGACGGUAAUGGGUAAAGAAGCACCGGCUAACUACGUG
rnacentral:rRNA from 1 species